CAUUAUUAUAAUGCGUGGAARUGCCCCUAAUAAGGGCAUACUCUAUAAAACUCUAAACUUACUGUCUGAGAAGGCCACGUGCCGUAAUCUUUAAACAUUUUAAAACUUUCAACAACGGAUCUCUUGGUUCUCGCAUCGAUGAAGAACGCAGCGAAAUGCGAUAAGUAAUGUGAAUUGCAGAAUUCAGUGAAUCAUCGAAUCUUUGAACGCACAUUGCGCCCUUUGGUAUUCCAUAGGGCAUGCCUGUUCGAGCGUCACUGACAACCCCAUCAUACAAGAGUGUGGUAUUGGCAGAAGUGGGUAGGGCUAGCAGUGCUGGUCCCACUCUGCUGGAAUGAAUAGGCCGGAAAUGCAGACCAUGGCAACAAACUUUCRGAGUAUUUUGAAAUGCUAAAUUAGUUUGGAGCUGGUCAGAAUCCAGGCUAUCGGACCCCCAUUCUGUGUAAAGCAGUAAUGUUG
rnacentral:rRNA from 1 species